AGCUUUGCGCAGUGGCAGUAUCAUAGCCAAUGAGGUUUAUCUGAGGUGGUUAUUGCUAAUUAAAAGU
rnacentral:snRNA from 1 species